rnacentral:misc_RNA from 1 species
GGGUUUAAGCUCCAAACGUCUGAGCCAGCCCAACUAGUGCUUCCAAUGCUCCUGCAGAAACAUGUGAGACACAGUAUCUAAACGGGAGAUUAUUUUUCUUAAGGUCACCAUUUUUAUUAUUUGCCUGAUGGGACAGUACGGUUUUUAGUAACUGAACGAUUAGGUGUACACUGUCAUCUUCUUCACCUUAUUAACAGUAGCGGGGAAAAAAAGUUAAAAAAACAAAAAAUCCCCUGAAGAGGCCUUAGUAAAGAGUAAAGUACUUGGCAUCUUUGAAUGAUGGUCGAGACAUGAGACCCAUAAUCAUGGAAAAGCAUAAUCUUGUACAAGAAGCUGAAGCUGCACAGAACUUGUUCUGUUGCAUUUCAAAGGGCCUCAGUGUAUAAUCUUUUAGCUUUAUCAAUGAACAAUCUUCUAGUUCUACACACUACACUAAUGAUGAAAGCCUCAAUUAACAUGAUUUGUUGGUUAGUGUGAAUGCAGAGCAGAUUCUCACACCGAAAAACAAUUGAAG